AACGAAGACUUAAAUAUUUCCUCAAUAAUUUUUAAGGAUUUUUUAUUUAACAAUGAUAUUAAUAAUUCUGUUUUUAUUUUUUUCAGAUUAUCAUUGCAAUUGUGCGCGAGUAAUGAAUAAAUCGAGUAUUGUGUCGCUAAACUAAAAACACAAAACUCGCGAAAUAGAAGUAGUGUUUAUUCGUCAAUAAAAAUUUUUACGAUUAAGAUUGUGACGUUAAAUCAGCUCUGAGGAGUUUGAAAUAAGUGUCCUGAAUCAAUUACGUGCAAAACAGUCAGUUAUAGAAAGUUGUAUUUUUCUAUUUUGUGAAUUGUAGUUAAAUUUAAAGAAUUAAAUUCAGUGUCAUCUUAUAAUAAAUAAAUAAUUAUCGCGUGUUAGAGUCAGUGCUUGGAAGAUGAUCAAGAAAUUAGUACACAUCUUUUGUAAUAGAAUAUUGAUGAUUCACUAUAAUGAUGCGUUAUAAUAAUCCAUAAAAGUUUCAACCUGGAAGUAUACGUUGAUGUCUACCUUACCUAAUUUUCAACCUACUGUGGAUCAACUUCCCUCAAUUUCGAGCUACGACCCGAACGAGUGUUUUAAAGCCAUCAGAGAACUUCUUAAGUAAUAAUCAUCAUUGGAUUUGCUAGCGUCAAUCUUUAUCUUUUUUGUGUAUUAGAG